UCAAUAGGAAAUAUAACAAAUGUGACAAAAAAGCAGUGUUUUUCAAACUGCAAUAUAUCGAGAACUGUCAUAGCUGCAAAUGGUCCAUCACAUUUAUCUGGGAACAACACAGCUGUGAUACAAGCAAAGAAUGGACCAGAUGGCGGUGUAAUUGCUGGUGCAGUUGUGGGAGUUCUUGCCCUUGCUGGUCUCUCGGGACUCCUUUUGUUUUUCCUUUAUCGGCGAUGGAAGAAAAAGAAAGAAGAAUCGAAAGUUGAACCAGAAGACAAAGGGGAUCCAAAUUCCACGACAGUAAACCCAACCCAACAGAAAAGCGCCCCGGUGCCAGCCUAGACCAGCAACAGUUGUUGCAGAUAAAAAGUAGACAAAAUAGAACAUA